rnacentral:rRNA from 1 species
UACGUAGGGGGCAAGCGUUGUCCGGAUUUAUUGGGCGUAAAGAGCGUGUAGGCGGCUAGAUAGGUCCGUUGUGAAAACUCGAGGCUCAACCUCGAGACGUCGAUGGAAACCAUCUGGCUAGAGUCCGGAAGAGGAGAGUGGAAUUCCUGGUGUAGCGGUGAAAUGCGCAGAUAUCAGGAGGAACACCGGUGGCGAAGGCGGUUCUCUGGGACGGUACUGACGCUGGAGACGCGAAAGCGUGGGGAGCGAACAGG